AGCGCUUCACUUCGGUGAGGAGCGGCGGACGGGUUAGUAACGCGUGGGAACAUACCCUUUUCUAAGGAAUAGCCACUGGAAACGGUGAGUAAUACCUUAUACGCCCUUCGGGGGAAAGAUUUAUCGGUGAAGGAUUGGCCCGCGUUAGAUUAGUUUGUUGGUGGGGUAAUGGCCUACCAAGACUACGAUCUAUAGCUGGUUUGAGAGGAUGAUCAGCAACACUGGGACUGAGACACGGCCCAGACUCCUACGGGAGGCAGCAGUGGGGAAUCUUAGACAAUGGGCGCAAGCCUGAUCUAGCGAUGCCGCGUGAGUGAUGAAGGCCUUAGGGUCGUAAAGCUCUUUCGCCAGGGAUGAUAAUGACAGUACCUGGUAAAGAAACCCCGGCUAACUCCGUGCCAGCAGCCGCGGUAAUACGGAGGGGGUUAGCGUUGUUCGGAAUUACUGGGCGUAAAGCGUACGUAGGCGGAUCAGAAAGUAAGAGGUGAAAUCCCAGGGCUCAACCCUGGAACUGCCUUUUAAACUCCUGGUCUUGAGUUCGAGAGAGGUGAGUGGAAUUCCAAGUGUAGAGGUGAAAUUCGUAGAUAUUUGGAGGAACACCAGUGGCGAAGGCGGCUCACUGGCUCGAUACUGACGCUGAGGUAC
rnacentral:rRNA from 1 species